rnacentral:rRNA from 1 species
UGCCAGCCGCCGCGGUAAUACGUAGGGAGCAAGCGUUGUCCGGAAUUAUUGGGCGUAAAGGGUGCGUAGGCGGCGUAGCAAGUCAGAUGUGAAAUCCCCGGGCUUAACUCGGGUUGGUCAUUUGAAACUGCUAUGCUUGAGUAAAGAAGAGGUAAGUGGAAUUCCUAGUGUAGCGGUGAAAUGCGUAGAUAUUAGGAGGAACACCAGUGGCGAAGGCGACUUACUGGUCUUUUACUGACGCUGAGGCACGAAAGCGAGGGGAGCAAACAGGAUUAGAUA